CUGGUACAGAGCAGAUACUCUUUUAUUCUAUAUCUUCGCGGGGCCUAUCUUCACUGUUCUCUUGGUGAAUUUACUGAUCCUGAUAAGGAUCAUUUACAUUGUCAUAAAGAAGUUGAGAGCCAGACAUCUUAAAAAAUCUAUUCAGUACCUGAAAGCUGUGAGGGCCACCUUCAUUUUAGUACCACUCCUCGGCAUCCAAAUCCUGUUGGCUUCCUAUGAACCAAGUGGCAGAACUAGCAAGGAGAUUCAUAAAUAUGUGCUCCAUAUUUUUAUAUAUUAUCAGGGUUUGUUAUUGUCAAUAAUAUUAUGCUUUUCUGAUAAAAAGGUUCAUUCUGUUUUCAGAAAGCUAUGGAAUCGAUUCCAAGCAUCACUUUAAAAUCAACAUUCCGCUUAAUGCAGACAACUCUGAACAUCUGGAUGGAGCCACAACAGAUAAUGUUGCUUUAAAAAAAAACUUUUUGGCCAAUUGCAAUACACUCUGUGCAAGUAAUAUCCUGUUGUUGCUUUUUAAAGAAAUCAUUCAUUACAAUAUUAUAUUCUUAUAAGAAACAGAGUUAAGACUGUAAUAGUGUAAAUAUUGUAAAAACAGAAUGCAAAAUGUAUCAAGCUGUUUGGUGUAUUGGUUAAGGUCUAGAAACUAGGAUACUAUCAGUUCCAGUCCCACCUUAAGCAUGAAAUUUGACUGGGUGACUUUCAACAGUCCCUCUCUCUCUGUCAGAACCCAUAUUCUAAGGGGGCCUUUCCUAUCUUUAACACAAUCUCUACUCUCUCUAUAAUCCUGGGUUCUGCCAUGCUCCUGGAGAGGAAGGGGAAAGCUGGGGUUUAUUGCUCUGUUUCCCUUCUAUUGCUACACUGUAACACUUUGUUGUUUCUGCAUACUUCCCUUGUGAACUAUCUCUCCCCUUGAUGUCAGCUAGAAAGGGGAGGAAGAAGAAAGGAAUGCGCCUCCGGCACUGGUUUAUCUCCACGUUGAAGGGAAGAUAUGAAAGCCGACAUAACAUUGCUACAACCCUGAGACAGCCUGGCAUUAUCAGCUCUUUCCCACAACACCUGGGGAUUGGCCCAUGUGAACUGACCGGAUGAACCUUUGGGUUGGGGUUUGUUUGGGACACUUUUAACCUAUUGAUCUGAGCAGAAAACCCUCAGAUCCUGUCUAUCUUGCCUGCUAUCAGCU